ensembl:misc_RNA RN7SL566P RNA, 7SL, cytoplasmic 566, pseudogene
GCUGUGGUGGGCACAUGACUGUAGUACCAGCUACUUGGGAGGCUGAGGCAAGAGGAUUGCCUGAGUCCAGGAGUUCUGGGCUAUAGUGUGCUAUGCUGAUUGGGUGUCUGCACUAAGUGUGGCCCCAGUAUGGUGACCUCCUAGGAGUGGGGGACCACCAGGUUGCCUAAGGAGGGGUGAACUGGCCCAGUUUGGAAAUGGAGCAGGUCAAAACUCCCGUGCUGAUCAAUAGUGGGAUUGCACUUGUGAAUAGCCACUGCACUGCAGCCUGGGCAACAUAGUGAGACCCCAUCUCU